rnacentral:rRNA from 1 species
UACGGAGGGUGCAAGCGUUAUCCGGAUUCACUGGGUUUAAAGGGUGCGUAGGUGGGAAGGUAAGUCAGUGGUGAAAUCCCCGAGCUUAACUUGGGAACUGCCAUUGAUACUAUCUUUCUUGAAUACCUUGGAGGUGAGCGGAAUAUGUCAUGUAGCGGUGAAAUGCUUAGAUAUGACAUAGAACACCAAUUGCGAAGGCAGCUCACUACACGGUCAUUGACACUGAGGCACGAAAGCGUGGGGAUCAAACAGG